GUAGGUGGCAAGCGUUGUCCGGAAUUAUUGGGCGUAAAGCGCGCGCAGGGCGGUCCUUUAAGUCUGAUGUGAAAGCCCACGGCUCAACCGUGGAGGGUCAUUGGAAACUGGGGGACUUGAGUACAGAAGAGGAAAGCGGAAUUCCAAGUGUAGCGGUGAAAUGCGUAGAGAUUUGGAGGAACACCAGUGGCGAAGGCGGCUUUCUGGUCUGUAACUGACGCUGAGGCGCGAAAGCGUGGGGAGCAAACAGGGUUAGAUACCCUGGUAGUCCACGCCGUAAACGAUGAGUGCUAAGUGUUAGGGGGUUUCCGCCCCUUAGUGCUGCAGCUAACGCAUUAAGCACUCCGCCUGGGGAGUACGGCCGCAAAGGCUG
rnacentral:rRNA from 1 species